rnacentral:misc_RNA from 1 species
UACCGCAUAACUUUCUACUGGAUGUACGGAUUUUGAUAAUUCUUUUUUUGUUGGAAAGGAGAUAUCCCAAGUUUAGUACCAUGAUAAGGAAAUCAGGAUAUGAUGAUGGGAUCCCAGAGAAAUCGAUGGAAAUUCUUGAAAAUCCGCAAUAACUUUUUACUGGGUGUACCGAUUUUGAUAAUUCUUUUUUUGUUGGAAAGAAGAUAUCCUUAGUUUAGUACCAUGAUGAGGAAACCAGGAUCUGAUGAUGGGAUCCCAGAGAAAUCGAGGGAACUUCUUGAAAAUCCGCAAUAACUUUUUACUGGCUGAUGUUUGUCAUGUGGUCACAUAUAAAUUUUAUUGAGAUCUGAUAAC